rnacentral:rRNA from 1 species
AUUGAACGCUGGCGGCAGGCCUAACACAUGCAAGUCGAACGGUAACAGGAAGAAGCUUGCUUCUUUGCUGACGAGUGGCAGACGGGUGAGUAAUGUCUGGGAAACUGCCUGAUGGAGGGGGAUAACUACUGGAAACGGUAGCUAAUACCGCAUAAUGUCGCAAGACCAAAGAGGGGGACCUUCGGGCCUCUUGCCAUCGGAUGUGCCCAGAUGGGAUUAGCUAGUAGGUGGGGUAACGGCUCACCUAGGCGACGAUCCCUAGCUGGUCUGAGAGGAUGACCAGCCACACUGGAACUGAGACACGGUCCAGACUCCUACGGGAGGCAGCAGUGGGGAAUAUUGCACAAUGGGCGCAAGCCUGAUGCAGCUAUGCCGCGUGUAUGAAGAAGGCCUUCGGGUUGUAAAGUACUUUCAGCGGGGAGGAAGGGAGUAAAGUUAAUACCUUUGCUCAUUGACGUUACCCGCAGAAGAAGCACCGGCUAACUCCGUG